AUGACCCCAACACGCAAAAUCAACCCGUUAAUAAAAUUAAUCAACCACUCAUUUAUUGACCUUCCCACUCCAUCCAAUAUCUCCACAUGAUGGAACUUCGGCUCAUUUCUUGGCGCCUGCCUAAUCCUCCAAAUCAUCACAGGACUAUUCCUAGCCAUACACUACUCACCAGACGCUUCAACUGCCUUCUCAUUGAUCGCCCACAUCACCCGGGACGUGAACUAUGGCUGAAUUAUCCGCUACCUCCACGCUAACGGAGUCGCAAUAUUCUUCAUCUGCCUCUUCCUACACAUCGGCCGAGGCCUAUAUUAUGGCUCAUUUCUCUACCUAGAAACCUGAAACACUGGCAUUAUCCUUCUACUCACAACCAUAGCAACAGCCUUCAUAGGUUAUGUUCUCCCAUGAGGCCAAAUAUCCUUCUGAGGAGCCACAGUAAUCAGCAGCAUU
rnacentral:lncRNA from 1 species